UACGUAGGGUGCGAGCGUUUAAUCGGAAUUACUGGGCGUAAAGCGUGCGCAGGCGGUUCGUUGUGUCGGUGGUGAAAGCCCCGGGCUUAACCUGGGAAUGGCCAUGGAAACUGGCGAACUGGAGUGUGGCAGAGGGGGGUGGAAUUCCGCGUGUAGCAGUGAAAUGCGUAGAGAUGCGGAGGAACACCGAUGGCGAAGGCAGCCCCCUGGGCUGACACUGACGCUGAGGCACGAAAGCGUGGGGAGCAAACAGG
rnacentral:rRNA from 1 species